rnacentral:rRNA from 1 species
UGGGGAAUAUUGCACAAUGGGGGAAACCCUGAUGCAGCGACGCCGCGUGAGUGAAGAAGUAUUUCGGUAUGUAAAGCUCUGUCAGCAGGGAAGAAAGCAAUGACGGUACCUGACCAAGAAGCCCCGGCUAACUACGUGCCAGCAGCCGCGGUAAUACGUAGGGGGCAAGCGUUAUCCGGAAUUACUGGGUGUAAAGGGAGCGUAGACGGCUGUGCAAGUCUGGAGUGAAAGGCGGGGGCCCAACCCCCGGACUGCUCUGGAAACUGUAUGGCUGGAGUGCAGGAGAGGUAAGCGGAAUUCCUAGUGUAGCGGUGAAAUGCGUAGAUAUUAGGAGGAACACCAGUGGCGAAGGCGGCUUACUGGACUGUAACUGACGUUGAGGCUCGAAAGCGUGGGGAGCAAACAGG